AGACAUGAAGCUUCUGUUCAUCUCACUGUUUCUGGCUGCUGUGGGCCUCGAAUGCAGAGCACAGACAGAAAGCGUGCUGCAACCUGAUGGAGAUGUGACCGCUGCUGCUGGAGAAACUGCAACCCUGAGGUGCCUGUAUAACACCAGCUCCUCCAACCAUUAUCUCUUCUGGUACAGACAGAAGGGGAGCAGCAGCCCCCAGUUCAUCCUGAGCCGCUUCAAGGUUGGAGAAGGAAAAACUGAGGAGACGGAGAGAUUUUCAUCCAGUCUGGAUGCUACUGCUAGAUCAGUUCCUCUGCAGAUCCAUAAUCUCCGUCUGUCAGACUCUGCUGUGUACUACUGUGCUCUGCAGCCCACAGUGACAGGAAACACCAGAACUCUGUACAAUAACCUGCAAUACUCCACAACCUCCACUAGAGGGACUCACACACUGUUUGUCUAUGUUUUGUUUUUCCCAGUGCAACCAGCAAGAGACAGCAGAGGGCGGUUCCUCCUGUAG